rnacentral:rRNA from 1 species
CCCUCCACUUUGGGAUAACUCCGGGAAACCGGGGCUAAUACCGUAAUAUUGAAACAUAAGCUGGCAUCACUGAGUUUUUGAAAGAAUUUUGGUGGAGGAUGACUUCCGGCCUAUCAGCUUGUUGGUGAGGUAAUGGCUCACCAAGGCUACAACGGGUAUCCGGCCUGAGAGGGCGACCGGACACACUGGGACUGAGGCACGGCCCAGACUCCUACGGGAGGCAGCAGUGGGGAAUAUUGGGCAAUGGACGAAAGUCUGACCCAGCGACGCCGCGUGAGGGAUGAAGGCCUUCGGGUUGUAAACCUCUUUCAGUAGGGAAGAAGCGAAAGUGACGGUACCUAAAGAAGAAGCACCGGCUAACUAUGUGCCAGCAGCCGCGGUAAUACAUAGGGUGCAAGCGUUGUCCGGAAUUAUUGGGCGUAAAGAGCUCGUAGGUGGUUUGUUGCGUCGGGUGUGAAAUUCAGGGGCUCAACCCCUGACCUGCACUCGAUACGGGCAGACUAGAGUUUGGUAGGGGAGGCUGGAAUCCCUGGUGUAGCGGUGGAAUGCGCAGAUAUCAGGAGGAACACCAAUGGCGAAGGCAGGUCUCUGGGCCAAUACUGACACUGAGGAGCGAAAGCGCGGGGAGCGAACAGGAUUAGAUACCCUGGUAGUCCGCGCCGUAAACGAUGGGCGCUA